rnacentral:lncRNA from 1 species
AUGAUGUACUGGAGCAAAUGGAGCAAAAACGAGUAAGAAAUAAAUAAUCAGCCAGUUGAGCAGAGUAGAUCGCCAGUGACCGAAGUAAAAGUGCCGCUAUUUUCUGUAAGUGGUCCGAGACCACUAUCUCUAAUAAAAAAAAUCACUUUGGACUAAAUAUUGUGGAUUUGUCAAGAACAAAAGGGGCCGUGAUAAAACAUGCAAGUCUAGCAACUUUUGCAGGAGGCACAUUCGAGAAUGAAGAAGCAAAUUAUGACUCAAGUGGUA